AGUGAACGCUGGCGGUAGGCCUAACACAUGCAAGUCGAACGGCAGCACAGUAAGAGCUUGCUCUUACGGGUGGCGAGUGGCGGACGGGUGAGGAAUACAUCGGAAUCUACUUUUUCGUGGGGAAUAACGUAGGGAAACUUACGCUAAUACCGCAUACGACCUACGGGUGAAAGUAGGGGAUCUUCGGACCUUGCGCGAUUGAAUGAGCCGAUGUCGGAUUAGCUAGUUGGCGGGGUAAAGGCCCACCAAGGCGACGAUCCGUAGCUGGUCUGAGAGGAUGAUCAGCCACACUGGAACUGAGACACGGUCCAGACUCCUACGGGAGGCAGCAGUGGGGAAUAUUUGACAAUGGGCGCAAGCCUGAUCCAGCCAUACCGCGUGGGUGAAGAAGGCCUUCGGGUUGUAAAGCCCUUUUGUUGGGAAAGAAAAGCAGCAGGUUAAUACCCCGCUGUUCUGACGGUACCCAAAGAAUAAGCACCGGCUAACUUCGUG
rnacentral:rRNA from 1 species